rnacentral:rRNA from 1 species
AACGAACGCUGGCGGCGCGCCUAAUACAUGCAAGUCGAGCGAGAAGACGUAGCAAUGCGUUUGUAAAGCGGCGAACGGGUGAGGAAUACAUGGGUAACCUACCCUCGAGUGGGGAAUAACUAGCCGAAAGGUUAGCUAAUACCGCGUACGCUUCUUGGACCUCGGUUCAGGGAGGAAAGCGAUACCGUGGGUAUCGCGCUCUUGGAUGGGCUCAUGUCCUAUCAGCUUGUUGGUGAGGUAACGGCUCACCAAGGCUUCGACGGGUAGCUGGUCUGAGAGGACGAUCAGCCACACUGGCACUGCGACACGGGCCAGACUCCUACGGGAGGCAGCAGUAAGGAAUGUUGCGCAAUGGGCGAAAGCCUGACGCAGCGACGCCGCGUGGGGGAUGAAGGUCUUCGGAUUGUAAACCCCUUUCGGGAGGGAAGAUGGAACGAGCAAUCGUUCGGACGGUACCUCCAGAAGCAGCCACGGCUAACUUCGUGCCAGCAGCCGCCGUAACAC